UACAGGAGGUCUCAAGCGGUUUGUUUCGGAAUUCAUUGGGCGUGAAAGGGUGUGUAGGUGGCGCCGUAAAGUCGGGUGUGAAAUUUCCGGAGCUUAGCUCCGAAACUGCAUUCGAUACUGCGGUGCGUUGAGGACUGGAGAGGAGACUGGAAUUCAUGGUGUAGCAGUGAAAUGCGUAGAGAUCAUGGAGGAACCAGCUGGGCGGAAGGCGGGCUCCUGGGACCGAGUUCGAUGACUGGAGGACAGAAAGGCCCAGGGGAGCAAAACGGGGAUUAGAACCUACCGAGUCAGUCCAAGAUCCAGUC
rnacentral:rRNA from 1 species